rnacentral:rRNA from 1 species
AUACGUAGGAGGCAAGCGUUAUCCGAAUUUACUGGGCGUAAAGCGCGUGCAGGCGGUUCGGUAAGUUGGAUGUGAAAUCUCCUGGCUCAACUGGGAGAGGUCGUUCAAUACUGUCGGACUAGAGGAUGGUAGAGGGAGGUGGAAUUCCCGGUGUAGUGGUGAAAUGCGUAGAUAUCGGGAGGAACACCAGUGGCGAAAGCGGCCUCCUGGACCAUUCCUGACGCUCAGACGCGAAAGCUAGGGGAGCGAACGGGAUUAGACACCCCGGUAGUCCUAGCUGUAAACGAUGUGGACUUGGCGUCGGUGGGGUAAAAGCCAUCGGUGCCGGAGCUAACGCGGUAAGUCCACCGCCUGGGGACUACGGCCGCAAGGUUAAA